rnacentral:lncRNA from 1 species
AGUCUAUGCUCGCUAUCCCAAGGUUCAUUGCGAUCCCAAGCUUCACUGCGGUUUUCCACAAGCCUGUUUCUGCCUAUCACCAUGAGUGAUUCCUUUAUACUCAGAUUUAUCAUCAAGAUCUCAAUUAUAAGCUUAAGUCUUGAUGACAAUUUGAUGAUCUGCAGGAGCACCACCAUGUAAGGAAGGCCAAGACCUCUCUGGAAUCAGUCAAGGGUGAAAUGGAGUGAGGCAUACAAGGAUAUGUGUGGUUUUAGUCUUGGGAAGGAGGUUGAACAGUGCAAUAUUUCUUCUAUAGGAUUGCAGUGACCAGACAUGCUAUUGUAACUCUCAUGGUCAUGUGCUGGAAUUAGCAGAUAUUCAACAAUUUGGCCAUCUCGCCGACCUAUUGAUAUCAGAAGACCGCAGCAGCUCUGCAAAGCAAGUUGCAAAACAGAAUCCAUGAAACUGGUAGUGACUGGAAACCAAUUGGAAGACUUUGGUCUGUGAUGUAGAGGAAUGGGCAGAGGUAGCAGAAGCAAAGACAACAAACAACAAAAGUGAUAUGGAUGUCUUCGUCAUAUGGCAUGACUCUGCUGACCCAGCAACAAAGAGGAGGGUGUUCAACAUCAUCCUGCUAGUCAGGAUUCUUCAGGAGAAGCAGAGGAUUCUUGUGGCAGAGAUGGCCAACCACUAUAAAUACCUUUCAACUCAUCCUGGUUCUUUCAAAGAACUUUCCUGCUUAUUUGCUUCUGAAAUAUUCGACAUGUGGCCUAAACAAAGAGGGGUUAAAAGGUCUAUGGAUCAUCAUUCUCAGAAAGCAACAAAAUAACUGAGAAAUAAACAACAAUACGAUGGUGCAAUCUAGAGACCUGCAAGGUACCUGCAAGUUUUGGCUGGAGCAGAGAACAUACAUUUUUUUAAAUAAAGCUCCAGCUGAUGAGUAUGACAUUGACUGUGGAUUUUCUUUUACUGUAAUCCAGAAGAGGAUGACCUUAACCCUGAAUCUAAAGCAUGUAAUAAAAUCUGUAAAAAUAAAAUAAAAUUUUCAUCAUCUAUAACCAAA